AGUGAACGCUGGCGGCAGGCCUAACACAUGCAAGUCGAACGAACCUUUCGGGGGUAGUGGCGGAUGGGUGUGUAACACGUCGGAACGUUCCUUUAGGGUUGGAAUAACUCAGGGACACUUGUGCUAAUACCGAAUGUGCCCUUCUGGGGAAAGAUAUAUCGCAGUUAGAGCGGCACGCGUCCGAUUAGCUAGUUGGUUGAGGUAAUGGCUCACCAAGGCGACAUUCAGUAGAUGGUCUGUGAGAAUGAUCAGCGACAUUGGGACUGAGACGCAGCCCAAACUCCUACGGGAGGCAGCAGAGGGGAAUCUAGCGCAAUCGGGUGAGGGAUGACGCAGCCAUGCCGGGUGAAUGCUGAAGGUCUUAAGAUAGUAAAAUUCUUUCACCGGGGACGGUAAUGACGGUACCCAGAGAAGAAGCCCCGGCUAACUUCGUG
rnacentral:rRNA from 1 species